GAUGAACGCUAGCGGAAGGCAUAAUACAUGCAAGUCGAACGGAUGUAGCAAUACAUUAGUGGCGCACGGGUGCGUAACGCGUAUGCAACCUACCUUCAUCAGGGGGAUAACUACCCGAAAGGGCGGCUAACACCGCAUAAUACUAUUGAGUGGCAGCACAUGAUAUUUAAAUCUGAGGAGGAUGAAGAUGGGCAUACGUCUGAUAAGCUAGUUGGUGUGGUAACGGCGCACCAAGGCGACGAUCAGUAGGGGAACUGAGAGGGUGGUCCCACACACUGGCACUGAGAUACGGGCCAGACUCCUACGGGAGGCAGCAGUAGGGAAUAUUGGUCAAUGGUGGGAACACUGAACCAGCUAUUCCGCGUGCAGGAAGAAGGGUCUCUGACUUGUAAACUGCUUUAGCAAGGGAAGAAAAAGCUCAUGCGUGAGAAAUUGACGGUACCUUGAGAAUAAGCACCGGCUAACUACGUGCCAGCCGCCGCCGUAAUAC
rnacentral:rRNA from 1 species